rnacentral:rRNA from 1 species
CCAAACUCCUACGGGAGGCAGCAGUGAGGAAUAUUGGUCAAUGGACGAGAGUCUGAACCAGCCAAGUAGCGGUGAAGGAUGAAAUGCCCUAUGGGUUGUACACUUCUUUUAUAUGGGAAUAAAAUGUUCCACGUGUGGGAUUUUGUAUGUACCAUAUGAAUAAGGAUCGGCUAACUCCGUGCCAGCAGCCGCGGUAAUACGGAGGAUCCGAGCGUUAUCCGGAUUUAUUGGGUUUAAAGGGAGCGUAGGUGGAUUGUUAAGUCAGUUGUGAAAGUUUGCGGCUCAACCGUAAAAUUGCAGUUGAAACUGGCAGUCUUGAGUACAGUAGAGGUGGGCGGAAUUCGUGGUGUAGCGGUGAAAUGCUUAGAUAUCUAGAAAGAACUCCGAUUGGGGAAGGCAGCCCACUGGACCUGCAACUGACACUGAGGGCUCGAAAAUGGGGGUAUCAAACAGGAUUAGAAUACCCUGGGUAGUCCACACAGUAAACGAGGAAUACUCGCUGUUUGCGAUAUACGGCAAGCGGCCAAGCGAAAGCAUUAAGUAUUCCACCUGGGGAGUACGCCGGCAACGGUGAAAACUCAAAGGAAUUGACGGGGGCCCGCACAAGCGGAGGAACAUGUGGUUUAAUUCGAUGAUACGCGAGGAACCUUACCCGGGCUUAAACUGCACCUGAAUAAUGUGGAAACAUGUUAGCCGUAAGGCAGGUGUGAAGGUGCUGCAUGGUUGUCGUCAGCUCGUGCCGUGAGGUGUCGGCUUAAGUGCCAUAACGAGCGCAACCCUUAUCUUCAGUUACUAACAGGUCAUGCUGAGGACUCUGGAGAGACUGCCGUCGUAAGAUGUGAGGAAGGUGGGGAUGACGUCAAAUCAGCACGGCCCUUACGUCCGGGGCUACACACGUGUUACAAUGGGAGGUACAGAAGGCCGCUACCUGGCGACAGGAUGCCAAUCCCCAAAACCUCUCUCAGUUCGGAUCGAAGUCUGCAACCCGACUUCGUGAAGCUGGAUUCGCUAGUAAUCGCGCAUCAGCCAUGGCGCGGUGA